UUGAAGAAGCAGGUGAUGCUUGGCUGUGACUGUUGACCCCUGAGUAACCCAAGGCCCCUUCCUGAGACCAGCCCUUCACAUCAGAACUUGCAAACAGAUGGACAGCUCCAGAACAGAUUCCCCCGGGAGGCCUCCAGGUCCCUGAAGUGGCUGCUUACACCUGACUCCUCUCACAGCUGACAGGGUGCAAAAUCUCUACCUCCAAAGAAACCAUCAAGUGCUGUCUAAAACUCCCAAAGUAACAUCCACCAGGUUCACUGGAAGGACGGGGGGCUGCUGGCCAUUAGAAAGACCUCGACAUUCUACUUUUGGAACAGGUUGCUUUAUGGAUACCCUGAACUGAGGCAUUGGAACAUAGAGUCACAGAAUCAUAGAACGCUCCAAGCUGGAAGGGACCCACAAGGAUCAUUGAGUCCAAGUCAUGGCUCCACAGAAGACUGGCUAAAAAUUAAACUAUAUAUCUAUUAUCAUUGUCCAAAUAAUUCUUGAAAUCUGGCAGGCUCAAUUCCAUGACCACUGCCCUGAGGAGCCUGUUCCAGUGCAUGACCACCUCUCAGUGAAGAAUCUUUUCCUACCAUCCCUGGAUCCCUCCCCUGUC